GUCCCUGUAGCUUAUAGCAAAGCAUGGCACUGAAGCUGCCAAGAUGGCCGCCACCACACAGCCCACGGACA
rnacentral:tRNA from 1 species